rnacentral:lncRNA from 1 species
GAGCCACCAUUGAGGAGAAUAAAUAAGUGAGAAGGAAGGGAAGGGGGAAAGAUUUUUUAUUGGUGAGAAAAGACAGAUGUAGAGGGGGGCCAUCUAAAAGGAUAGAGCUCAUUAGUUAGUUUGGAAAAGAAAAAAGGUGAGGAAGAUCGAAGAAAGAGGAUGAGCAGGGGAGGAGGAGAGAUGGGCCGCUUGCAAGGAAUGAGAUGGAGAAGGAG